GGGCCUGUGGCUCAGUCGGUUAAGCACCUGACUUCAGCUCAGGUCACGAUCUCACGGUUCGUGGGUUCGAGCCCUGCGUCCA
rnacentral:tRNA from 1 species